rnacentral:rRNA from 1 species
GAUGAACGCUGGCGGCGUGCCUAAUACAUGCAAGUCGAGCGAACAGACGAGGAGCUUGCUCCUCUGACGUUAGCGGCGGACGGGUGAGUAACACGUGGAUAACCUACCUAUAAGACUGGGAUAACUUCGGGAAACCGGAGCUAAUACCGGAUAAUAUAUUGAACCGCAUGGUUCAAUAGUGAAAGACGGUUUUGCUGUCACUUAUAGAUGGAUCCGCGCCGCAUUAGCUAGUUGGUAAGGUAACGGCUUACCAAGGCAACGAUGCGUAGCCGACCUGAGAGGGUGAUCGGCCACACUGGAACUGAGACACGGUCCAGACUCCUACGGGAGGCAGCAGUAGGGAAUCUUCCGCAAUGGGCGAAAGCCUGACGGAGCAACGCCGCGUGAGUGAUGAAGGUCUUCGGAUCGUAAAACUCUGUUAUUAGGGAAGAACAAAUGUGUAAGUAACUAUGCACGUCUUGACGGUACCUAAUCAGAAAGCUACGGCUAACUACGUG